rnacentral:lncRNA from 1 species
UCCCCUCGCGACUCCCGCGGCUCGGGGGAGAGCUGCACGCGACCCAGGUGCUGGCCUCUGAGCGGGUCGGCUCGGAGACUACAGGAUCAGGAGGAGGUUGGAGGUGAAGCGUCUGGAAUCCGGUAAAGAUGGACACCUGCAUGAGGGAAGGAAUAUGUGAGCAGCUUCCAUUUCCCUUCCAUGGUCUUCUCAGCUUCCUCCAACAGUAGAUUGUUCAGCCUCCCUAAAGCAGGAGAAGAGGAAGGGGAAGAAAGGUAAGAGACAGUAAAGGUCUUACUUAACUGGUAUUGUUAUAAUCAGUGUUUGGUUCUCUCCUGCCUUCAUGGAUAGUCAAAGCUGACCCUUUUUCUUAUUGUUAGGUGUUUUUCCGGGUUUCUAAGCAAAUACCUUGCUGCAGAUCUUCAACUGCAGGGGAGGGCAUGUUGCCAGAACAUCCUGUUUACAGAGGCCACUUAAAAUCCUUACGUUAACCCUAGGCAUACUGUGGUCAUCCUUUUCUGGUGGGUCACAUUGGCCCUCCAGAAGUUCUCUAGAACAGGAUCCAAGAUCUCCUGAGGUCAGCUCACUCCGUAUGGUCCAUAUCCUGUCACCACGUGGGAAUUAAGUUCCUAUCUCUGUUUCUCCUAAAUGGCAGGAAAAAAGGUAAAGUUCUCCUAAGAACUCUCUUAACACACUCCCCUUUGGAUCUUAGAGGGACUGGGAUGGAUCGGGUCAACUUGCUUGGUUUGAUUAGAGGAGGAAACACCCACCUCCUUUCCUCAGGGUGCUGAGAACACACCCACAGCUCUUCCCAAAAAUAGUCUCACCUCACAAAAAGUCCUCUUCCUCAGCCUCCCCAGCCUCUCACAUGUCCUUGAGGUAUGUUGAACUGUAGCAAAAAUUGUUUAUAGCCAGUUUCUUUUUUUUAAUUUUAAUUUUUUAAAAUAUGGUCAGCUGGGCGCAGUGGCUG